rnacentral:tRNA from 2 species
GGUGGCAUAGCCAAGUGGUAAGGCAGGAGCCUGCAAAGCUCCCAUUCCUCAGUUCAAAUCUGAGUGCCACCU